rnacentral:rRNA from 1 species
UGGGGAAUUUUGGACAAUGGGCGCAAGCCUGAUCCAGCCAUGCCGCGUGCAGGAUGAAGGCCUUCGGGUUGUAAACUGCUUUUGUACGGAACGAAAAGGUGCCUUCUAAUAAAGGGCGCUCAUGACGGUACCGUAAGAAUAAGCACCGGCUAACUACGUGCCAGCAGCCGCGGUAAUACGUAGGGUGCGAGCGUUAAUCGGAAUUACUGGGCGUAAAGCGUGCGCAGGCGGUUUUGUAAGACAGAUGUGAAAUCCCCGGGCUUAACCUGGGAACUGCGUUUGUGGCUGCAAGGCUGGAGUACGGCAGAGGGGGGUGGAAUUCCACGUGUAGCAGUGAAAUGCGUAGAGAUGUGGAGGAACACCGAUGGCGAAGGCAGCCCCCUGGGCCUGUACUGACGCUCAUGCACGAAAGC